rnacentral:lncRNA from 1 species
GAGGGGGUUGUGAGAACCCCAGAUUUGUUGCCAAGUUGGAUGGAACUAGGCUCUCCAGGCAUCAGCUUCACAGAGAGAAUCUUGAUGCCCAACAAGGACAGCAUUUUCAGAGAUGUACCCUUACAAGGGGUCCCCAUACAAGAUUGAAAUGAUAAAGAACUGAAGAUCCAAAGCCAGAGAAUGAUAAAGUAACUUCAACCUGACACAGUAAAACAUUGCAGGGAGAGUCCGGGAUCUGGAAUGAGAAUGCCACGUCCAGGCUGUGUUACCUUACAAAAAUUAUUAAUGCUUCAGUGGCCUCAUCUGCAGAAUGGAAAUACCAAUAAUAGUAGCUAUCUGAUAAGGUUAUUGUGGGGAUAGUAGGAGACAAUCCAUAAUAAUGUUUGAGUAGUAGCUGGCACAUUGUAGAUACUCAACAUACGCCAGCUAUUAUUGUUAUAGAAAAUAUGCAGAUCUGGAAUAGCUUGGAAAAUGUUUAUGAUACAAUAACAAAUUCAAAAGAAGUCUACUAAAUACUGUGUAUUUUAUGAUUGCAAUUUUGUAAAAACUAUAUCUGCUUAUGGAAAAAGAUUUGAAGAAAAUAUGCUUAUGUGAAAAGAAUUUCUUACA